AUGAUUUCGACAUUGUAUUAGCAGUGGAUCUUGGGUAAAUGGAAGCAGGGAUGCUUUAGGUCAAUUUAGUCAGAGUUAAAUGGUGUCAGAAUCAUCUGAAAAGGCAUAUGAAUUCAUGCCAAUGCACCCUACUACCUAAAACAGAUACUCCAAUUGAUCUCACCUUUAUAUUUCACCACGAGUUAGAAUCGCUCUUGAGAUAUGGAAAUGCACUAAUUUAGAAGAAACAAUGUAGACUUUAUGGAAGAGACAAUGAAAUGCUUUAUCUGCUCGAGAAGGUGCUUGAGUUUUUCAUGGUUUGGAAAUUUGCAUUCUUAUAGUUUUUGGUACUUGGGUAUUUUUUUCUUUUUUCUUUUAUUCAUUUUGUGAUGCACAGUAAGCUUGAUCUUGGCAAGUUGUGUGUGUGCAGUGUGUCUGUGUAAUUUCACCAAGCAAGCUUGACAUUGGCAAGUUGUGUGCGUGUGAAGGGUGUGUGUGUGUGUGUGUGAGAGAGAGAGAGAGAGAGGAGAGAGAGAGAGAGAAGAUGUGUGGGGGAGCAUAUACCUAAAACUCCUUUUAGAGAAAAGGAGUAAUUAAUUCACAAUAGGAUCAAGAGCUAGCUAAUUACAAAGCAACACAGGUAUUCUUGCUAAUCAAUG
rnacentral:lncRNA from 1 species